rnacentral:rRNA from 1 species
AUGUGGGAUGAUGUUUUGAAGGAAAAUGGGCAGUGCUGGAACAGGUUUUGUGCACCUUUAAAGAAUGUACUACCGGGAAGUAUGAUGUUGGUCACUACUAGAAGUCCACAGGUUGCUGACAGAGUGGGCACGAUGGAUCCCAUUACAUUGGAAGGUUUAAAGGAUGAUGUUUUUUGGAAUUUUUUCAAAUUAUGUGUUUUUGAAUCUGGGAGUUCCAAUAAUAAUAAUUUGGAAAGCAUUGGUAGAAGGAUAGUUCCUAAGUUGAAGGGUUCUCCUUUAGCCGCCAAAACUCUUGGACGAAUAUUAAGAAUGAACCUUCAAGUAGUACAUUGGAAUGAUGUACUAGAGAGUGAAUUGUGGAAGUUGAGCCAGGAAGAGACUGAAAUCUUGCCAGCCCUUCGGUUGAGCUACAUGUAUUUACCAUUUCAUUUGAAGAGGUGCUUCUCAUUUUGUGCAGUGUAUCCCAAAGAUUACAAAUUUCGGAAGGACCAUUUAGCUGAAAUUUGGGUGGCAGAAGGCUUUGUUGAACCUCGUGGUGAUACUCCACUUCAAGAUAUUGGAUGUGAAUACUUCAAUGACCUUUUAAAUCGGUCCUUCUUUCAAGAAGUACAAGGUGGAUACUUAAUUCAUGACUUGCUGCAUGACAUGGCACAGAAAGUUUCAGAGCAUGAGUGCUUCAUCAUGAAAAGAAAGAGUGACUUUAAAGAUAUUCCUCCUAAUGUUCGCCAUUUGUCAAUACUCUCUAGCACAGACAUUGAAAAUGCCAGCUUGUUGAGGCUAUGCCACUUCAGAAAGCUUCGUACGCUUCUUUUUGACAAGCCUUUAGCAAAUAAAAAUAUUCCAACUAGCAUUUUGGAAAAAUGGUGGAGUGAACUUCUGUGUCUACGUGUGAUUGUUUGCGUUGCUACUAAUGAGUUACCAGCUGCUAUUGGAAACUUGAAGCAUCUUCGGUACCUUCAAAUCUUGAGAGCUUCACAUUUCAAGAGUCUUCCCGCUGAGUUCUGUCGGCUGUAUAAUCUGCAGAUUUUAAGUGUUCAGGAAUGCAAGCUAGAAAGCUUGCCUAGUGACUUUAGUAAUCUGAUAUGCUUACAGAGAUUUGAAUCGUAUGGAUUUCAAUGUAGUUCAGUGUUGAGAAGUUGCCCUGAAGAACUUUAUUUUGAAGUGAGUGUUGAUGCAGCCAAUGAUGGACAGGAACGAGGAUUUAGGUUGAUGAAGAAUAUUAACCAAGUUGGUGAAUUGGAUAUAUAUAAUAUUGACAAGCUAAGUAAGGAGCAUGCUGCAGAAGCCCAACUACAGAAUAAGAAGUAUCUUAAGAUUCUGAAACUGUCAUGGUCAUGGCCUCUGUGGAGUUCUCCGGAAGACAGUAUAGACGUCCUUCGAGUUCUACAACCUCCCACCUGCCUCAAGUCUCUGCUCCUCCGUGGUUAUCCAGGUGUAUUGCUUCCAGGGUGGUUGCCGACUGAGAUUUCGCCAAGCUUAAGGUCACCUUUAUUUAUCAGUUGUGGACUUGAGAGCUCAUUGGCAUCCACUAACCCAGAGCGUAUAAACCCAAGUGAGAUACCGGAGGUGCUUACUAACAACAUUAAUGAUAUUACUGGUAUUUUCUCAUCCCUGUCGGACCUACUCAUUGAUAAUUGCCAAAAUUUAUCAUGCCUCGAACAUGUUGUACAUGCAACGACAAUCAAGAAAAUCACAAUUAAAGAUUGCAACAACUUAGUUUCAGUACCAGCUGAAAGAUUUGGGGAUCUAUGUUGCCUUGAAGAAUUGAAGGUGCAAGGAUGUCCAAAUAUAUCUGUGCAAAUUUUGGUUGCACCUUCUCUCAAGAGGCUUGUGCUGGGUAAGGAGAGUGAUUUUAGUUAUGAUGACCCUAGUUGUGGCAAUCUCGCAGACAAUAUAGACUGUUGCACCCUCACAUACUUUUUUUUGUCAAGCAACCAUCUCACAUCCAUCCAACUAGAAAUGUGGAAUCUUCCAGCAUUGAAGGAGUUGAAUAUUUCACAUUGUCGAUUUCUUGAAUCUAUCAUUGGACAAUCUGGACAGGUCAUCAGAAACACUGGUGGAUCUAGAGCAUUCCCAUAUCUUACUUCACUAACAAUUGAACGGUGUUACAAGCUGUCAACCAUUGAUGAUCUCCUAUCAGAAGAAUAUCUACCUGCCAUUGAGAGAGUUUGUAUCAGAUCUUGUGGCAGAUUAAAGUCCUUGCAGGGUGAAAGGUUUGGGAAUUUUUCUUAUCUGAAGGAUUUGGAGAUCUCUGAUUGCAGUAGACUCAGCUGGAAGAAGGGAUUUCUGUUACCAUCUUCCCUCCAAAGACUCACCUUAUAUAAAUGCGGGAAUAUCUCUGCAUGGGUUCCCAGCUGCCUACAAAACCUUACAUCCCUUGUUACAUUGAGGAUUGAUGCAUGUCGGCACAUAACAUCCAUUCCAGGCAGGCUUUGGAGCACUAGUCUCACAUCACUUGAGAAUUUAUCGAUUUCAUAUUGUCCAGACAUUGUAUCAAUUGGAGGAGAAAACGCAAUUUCAGAAAUACAGAAUGUACAGAUUAAACACUGUCAUAAGAUGGAGGAUUUAAAGCAGCCCUUGGAAAGAGGCAAUCGGUUCUCAUGCAUCUCGAGAGUGGAGCCAGUCUUCCUUUAUGCACCACACUGGGAAGCAUCAUACUCUUCAGUGGAGAUUGCUUGUUGCAGCACAUGGGAAUCAGUUUCAGAAAUGACAUUUUGA